rnacentral:rRNA from 1 species
CCUACGGGCGGCAGCAGUGAGGAAUCUUGGUCAAUGGACGAGAGUCUGAACCAGCCAAGUAGCGUGAAGGAUGACUGCCCUAUGGGUUGUAAACUUCUGUUAUAUGGGAAUAAAAUGUUCCACGUGUGGGAUUUUGUAUGUACCAUAUGAAUAAGGAUCGUCUAACUCCGUGCAAGCAGCCGCGGUAAUACGGAGGAUCCGAGCGUUGUCCGGAUUUAUUGGGUUGAAAGGGAGUGUAGGGUGAUUGUUAAGUCAGUUGUGAAAGUUGGCGGCUCAACCGUAAAAUUGCAGUUGAAACUGGCAGUCUUGAGUACAGGAGAGGUAGGCGGAAUUCGUGGUGUAGCAGUGAAAUGCUUAGAUAUCACGAAGAACUCCGAUUGCGAAGGCAGCUCCCUGGACUGCAACUGACACUGAGGCUCGAAAGUGAGGGUAUCAAACAGGAUUAGAUACCCGAGUAGUC